GGUUUCCCUUUCUCUUGCUUUUUCUUAAUUGGGUACAAUGGUGUGUUACAAGGGGAGGUGGUCUGGACAACUACCCCUGCCUGCAGAAACUCUUGCACAGAUUGCAAAAUAGCAUCUUCCUGUGCUGGGCUUAGGGGGUAUUGUUUUUGAUAGGGAGGUUUGGCUCCGGGCAGGAGAUUCACUUUGACUGGGGGCACAGAGAGUCUGCCUGCAUCUGUCUUCC